GAUGAACGCUAGCGGCAGGCCUAACACAUGCAAGUCGAGGGGUAGAGUUAGCUUGCUAACUUGAGACCGGCGCACGGGUGCGUAACGCGUAUGCAAUCUACCUUGUACAGAGGGAUAGCCCAGAGAAAUUUGGAUUAAUACCUCAUAGUAUCUUUACCUGGCAUCGGGUAAUUAUUAAAGUUCCAACGGUACAAGAUGAGCAUGCGUCCCAUUAGUUAGUUGGUAAGGUAACGGCUUACCAAGACAAUGAUGGGUAGGGGUCCUGAGAGGGAGAUCCCCCACACUGGUACUGAGACACGGACCAGACUCCUACGGGAGGCAGCAGUGAGGAAUAUUGGUCAAUGGACGCAAGUCUGAACCAGCCAUGCCGCGUGCAGGAAGACGGUCCUAUGGAUUGUAAACUGCUUUUAUACAGGAAGAAACAACUCUACGUGUAGAGUCUUGACGGUACUGUAGGAAUAAGGAUCGGCUAACUCCGUGCCAGCAGCCG
rnacentral:rRNA from 1 species